AUUUGGGAAACCCCUAAUUUCUGUUAGGGUUAAGAUGAUUUGGGCCUGGGUAUUGGGACGCGUUCUCUUUGCCAUCACCUGCAAUCCUAUUCACACCCCAUUCCCUACCUGCAUACAAAAGGCUUUGGGCUCGAGUACGAUUUCUCUGCCUGCCACCGCGCCGUUACUAUUCGCACCUCCAUUUCCUUUCUGCCAAACAAUAAAAGAGGGUUUGGGCCUGGCCAUUGGACUUCGGACUCUCUGCCUGUCACCUCCUGUUCUCUAUUCGCACCACCACUCCAUUUCUGCAAACAAGAAAAGAGGGUUUGGGCCUGGCCAUUGGACUUCAGACUCUCUUCCUGUCACCUCCCGUUCUCUAUUCACACCACCACUCCAUUUCUGCAAACAAGACAAAGAAAGAGUUGGGCCAGAACACAUUAUUUCGGACUGCACCCCCGGUUUUAAUCUCUGCACCCCUAUUCUUAUUGGGCUUGGACUGUAUUUUUUUUUAUUAUUUUCUUUGUUUUUUAUUUCUUUAACUUUGGCAAUUUUUUUUUUUAUUAUUGUGCGUUGUUAUAUCUCUUUGCUAAUAAAAAUAAAAAUAUAAAAAUCAUAAAAAAUUAAAAAUCAAUUAAAAAUAUUUUGAAAAGAUUCAAGCACACGUGCGACCGCUCGCGUAGGCCUUGUGCGGAAAACCUUUUCCUUUUCUUUUACAAAAAUUAAAAAUCAAUUAAAAAUAUUUUGAAAAGGUUCAAGCACACGUGCGACCGCUCGCGUAGGCCUUGUGCGGAAAACCUUUUCCUUUUCUUUUUACAAAAAUUAAAAAUCAAAUAAAAAUAUUUUGAAAGGGUUUAAGCACACGUGCGACCGCUCGCGUAGGCCUUGUGCUGAAAACCUUUUCCCUUUUCUUUUAAAAAUUCAAAAUCAAUAAAAAUAUUUUGAAAGGGUUUAAGC
rnacentral:lncRNA from 1 species